CUCUGCCUCUGUGGUGGAUAGUGGAGUGUUUCCCAUGUGGUAUUGGUGUGCUGGAUAUCCCUUCACUAGUAGCCUGGUAACAUACACUCCCAUGUCUUUCUCUGCCUCUGUGGUGGAUAGUGGAGUGUUUCCCAUGUGGUAUUGGUGUGCUGGAUAUCCCUUCACUGGUAGCCUGGUAACAUACACUCCCAAGUCUUUCUCUGCCUCUGUGGUGGAUAGUGGAGUGUUUCCCAUGUGGUAUUGGUGUGCUGGAUAUCCCUUCACUGGUAGCCUGGUAACAUACACUCCCAGGUCUUUCUCUGCCUCUGUGGUGGAUAGUGCAGUGUUUCCCAUGUGGUAUUGGUGUGCUGGAUAUCCCUUCACUGGUAGCCUGGUAACAUACACUCCCAGGUCUUUCUCUGCCUCUGUGGUGGAUAGUGCAG